rnacentral:rRNA from 1 species
UACGGGGGGAGCAAGCGUUGUUCGGAUUUACUGGGCGUAAAGGGCGCGUAGGCGGUCAGCGCAAGUCAGUUGUGAAAUCUCCGGGCUUAACUCGGAAAGGUCAACUGAUACUGUGCGACUAGAGUGCGGAAGGGGCAACUGGAAUUCUCGGUGUAGCGGUGAAAUGCGUAGAUAUCGAGAGGAACACCUGCGGCGAAGGCGGGUUGCUGGGCCGACACUGACGCUGAUGCGCGAAAGCCAGGGGAGCAAACGGG